UACAGAGGUCUCAAGCGUUGUUCGGAUUCAUUGGGCGUAAAGGGUGCGUAGGCGGCGCGGUAAGUCGGGUGUGAAAUCUUGGAGCUUAACUCCGAAACUGCACUUGAUACUGCCUUGCUCGAGUACUGGAGAGGAGACUGGAAUUUACGGUGUAGCAGUGAAAUGCGUAGAUAUCGUAAGGAAGACCAGUGGCGAAGGCGAGUCUCUGGACAGUUACUGACGCUGAGGCACGAAGGCCAGGGGAGCAAACGGG
rnacentral:rRNA from 1 species